rnacentral:rRNA from 1 species
CUAUGGUUUAUUGGAUCGUACCCGUUAAAUGGAUAACUGUAAUAACUCUAGAGCUAAUACAUGCCUCGAUGCCCUGACUCUGGGUGCUCCGCUUGCCGUCAGGUGGGUGAGCAGACGGGGGAUGGGUGCACUUAUUAGAUCAGAAGCCAACCAAUUGUGCGUGGGCGGUCGCAAGGCCGCGACGCGCAUUGAAGCACUUCUGGUGACUCUGGAUAAUUGUUACAGAUCGCAGUCGGCCCUGAGUCGGCGACGGGUCCUUCAAAUGUCUGCCCUAUCAACUUUCGAUGGUAGGUGACCUGCCUACCAUGGUGAUAACGGGUAACGGGGAAUCAGGGUUCGAUUCCGGAGAGGGAGCCUGAGAAACGGCUACCACUUCCAAGGGAGGCAGCAGGCGCGCAAAUUACCCACUCCCAGCACGGGGAGGUGGUGACGAAAAAUACCGAUGCGGGACUCCCUAAAGAGGCUCCGUAAUCGGAAUGAGUGGACUCUAAAUCCUUUCACGAGGAUCGAUUGGAGGGCAAGUCUGGUGCCAGCAGCCGCGGUAACUCCAGCUCCAAUAGCGUAUAUUAAAGUUGCUGCAGUUAAAAAGCUCGUAGUUGGAUCUCGGUGGCAUUAUUGCCUGUUGGUAUUUGAGCGGCUGGUGUGUGGCUGUCGACGCGCGGUCUCAGCGUCUGCUCGGUCGGUUGGUUGGGGGGGCGACAGGCGGAUUGGCUGGGUCAGCCGGUCAGAUGAUUGGUCCGUUGGUUCGUUAGUCGGUCGGUUGGUUGGUUGGUUGCCGGUCUGUCUGCGCGUGCGUCGGCGUGCCGGUGUGCGUUAGUAGGCGCCGGUUGAUCACUGGUCGGUCACUGGCGUGGAUCGCGCUGCACUGAACUGAUCUGGUGUGGUUCGCUUUCGGCCUCCCGUCGGCGUCUGUGGCGUUCGUUGUGGCGGUGUUGUCGCGGUCAUUGAUUAGCACCGUCGUGUCAAGCCGGCUAGGCGGUGGUGUCAUCUUUAAGCCAUGUCUGUGGUGUGACAGCUGCAGGUGUAGGCGGGUGUUGGGCAGUGCUCUGCACACGCUGCGGGGUCUGUCGGCCUGCCUGCAUGCCUCUGGAUGCCCUUCAAAAGGUGUCUGUAGGCGGAUGGCACGUUUACUUUGAACAAAUUUGAGUGCUCAAGUCAGGCCGAUGUUGCCUGAAAAGUUUUGCAUGGAAUAAUGGAAUAGGACUUCGGUUCUAUUUCGUUGGUUUUCGGAUCCGAAGUAAUGAUCAAAAGAGACAGGCGGGGACGUUUGUAUGGCUGCGCUAGAGGUGAAAUUCAUGGACCGUAGCCAGACAAACUAAAGCGAAAGCAUUCGUCAAGCAUGUUUUCAUUGGCCAUGAGCGAAAGUCAGAGGCUCGAAGACGAUCAGAUACCGUCCUAGUUCUGACCAUAAACGAUGCCAACUGACGAUCCGUGGUGGUAGUGCUUCAACCUUCCCCACGGGCAGUCCCCGGGAAACCUUUAAGUCUUUGGGUUCCGGGGGAAGUAUGGUUGCAAAGCUGAAACUUAAAGGAAUUGACGGAAGGGCACCACCAGGAGUGGAGCCUGCGGCUUAAUUUGACUCAACACGGGAAAACUCACCCGGGCCGGACACUAUGAGGAUUGACAGAUUGAUAGCUCUUUCUUGAUUUGGUGGUUGGUGGUGCAUGGCCGUUCUUAGUUGGUGGAGCGAUUUGUCUGGUUAAUUCCGAUAACGAACGAGACUCCAGCCUGCUAAUUAGUGCGUUUGUCCACUGCGUCUGUGUAGGCGGCGCCGGGCGAGGCUGCUACUGGGGACGCAUGCGCGGCCUCCUGCGUCGCCGUGCUCUCGCGGUCUGGCUGGGCGGGUUUCGGCUCGUCGUCGUGGUCGACUGUGGGGCUGGGGCUGGCUGCGGGGGUGGUGUUGUGCGUCUUUGGUUGGUUGGUCCGUGUGUCUGGCGUUAGCUUCCGGAUGCGGCGCGAAUGCUUACUUCUUAGAGGGACAAGCGGGAGAAGCCGCACGAAAUAGAGCAAUAACAGGUCUGUGAUGCCCUUAGAUGUCCGGGGCCGCACGCGCGCUACAAUGACGGUGUCAACGAGUCAGACCUUCUGGCCCGAGAGGGUUGGGCAAACUGGUCAAUCACCGUCAUGACAGGGAUCGGGGCUUGGAAUUGUUCCCCGUGAACGAGGAAUUCCUAGUAAGUGCAAGUCAUAAGCUUGCGCUGAUUACGUCCCUGCCCUUUGUACACACCGCCCGUCGCUACUACCGAUUGAAUGGUUUAGUAAGGUCCUUGGAUUGGCGCCAUUGUGGCAAUCUCCGAGAGGUGGUAGCCCGACAGGCGCUGAGAAGACGACCGAACUUGAUCAUUUAGA